UUUAAACGUUUAGGAUUUCUAUACCUGACUUAGUCAAGUCCUUGUCACAAAAGUUGGUCUAGAAGAGCCAGUUUGGUCAAGUAGUUAAGGCAUCAGGCUAAACACCAGAAGACUAUAGUUGUGGGAGCUCUCCAAAACAGAUUUGGGUAUCAGAAGAAAAAGUUCUGAGUGUAUUUCCAUUCAUGUGAGGUUAUAUUUCAUCCAAUACCAGAUUUAACAGAGGCAUAGUUAGCACUCCAAGAUGUUAUUCAGUACUUCCUGUUCAUUCACAGAAGCAAUAAUAAUGAAGUUAGAGGCAGAAGACAAAAAGAGAUGGAGCAUAAUCAACAAAGGCAGCAAAAUAGCUGUGUGCUGAAGAUAAGGAAAACCUAAACAUUGAAAAUCAAAGCUAUCAAUUCUGAAUAAAAAAGGAGCUACUUGCCUCACUUAGUCACAAAAUAUCAAAUAUAGUGUGAGU